rnacentral:rRNA from 1 species
GACGAACGCUGGCGGCGUGCUUAACACAUGCCAGUCGAACGGAAAGGCCCUGCUUGCAGGGUACUCGAGUGGCGAACGGGUGAGUAACACGUGGGUGAUCUGCCCUGCACUUCGGGAUAAGCCUGGGAAACUGGGUCUAAUACCGGAUAGGAGCCAUUUUUAGUGUGAUGGUUGGAAAGUUUUUUCGGUGUAGGAUGAGCUCGCGGCCUAUCAGCUUGUUGGUGGGGUAAUGGCCUACCAAGGCGGCGACGGGUAGCCGGCCUGAGAGGGUGGACGGCCACAUUGGGACUGAGAUACGGCCCAGACUCCUACGGGAGGCAGCAGUGGGGAAUAUUGCACAAGGGGCGCAAGCCUGAUGCAGCGACGCCGCGUGGGGGAUGACGGCCUUCGGGUUGUAAACUCCUUUCGCUAGGGACGAAUCUUUUUGUGACGGUACCUAGAGAAGAAGCACCGGCUAACUACGUG